CCUACGGGGGACAGCAGUGGGGGAUAUUGCACAAUGGAGGAAACUCUGAUGCAGCGACGCCGCGUGAGGGAAGACGGUCUUCGGUUUGUAAACCUCUGUCUUUUGGGAAGAAAAUGACGGUACCCAAAGAGGAAGCUCCGGCUAACUACGUGCCAGCAGCCGCGGUAAUACGUAGGGAGCGAGCGUUGUCCGGAAUUACUGGGUGUAAAGGGAGCGUAGGCGGGCGAGAAAGUUGAAUGUGAAAUCUACCGGCUUAACUGCUGGCUGCGUUGGAAAAUUCUUGUCUUGAGUGAAGUAGAGGUAGGUGGAAUUCCUAGUGUAGCGGUGAAAUGCGUAGAUAUUAGGAGGAACACCAGUGGCGAAGGCGGCCUGCUGGGCUUUAACUGACGCUGAGGCUCGAAAGCGUGGGGAGCAAACAGGAUUAGAUACCCGGGUAGUC
rnacentral:rRNA from 1 species